rnacentral:sRNA from 1 species
GCUGGUCACAGUGGAUGUGCACCUGUUGGCCCAGCUACUGGGCAGGCUGAGGCAGGAGGAUCACUUGAGCCCAGGAGUUCAGGACCACCCUGGGUAGGAUAGAGAGACCCUAUCUCAG